rnacentral:rRNA from 1 species
AUUGAACGCUGGCGGCAGGCCUAACACAUGCAAGUCGAACGGUAACAGGGAGCAGCUUGCUGCUUCGCUGACGAGUGGCGGACGGGUGAGUAAUGUCUGGGAAACUGCCCGAUGGAGGGGGAUAACUACUGGAAACGGUAGCUAAUACCGCAUAACGUCGCAAGACCAAAGAGGGGGACCUUCGGGCCCCUUGCCAUCGGAUGUGCCCAGAUGGGAUUAGCUUGUUGGUGAGGUAACGGCUCACCAAGGCGACGAUCCCUAGCUGGUCUGAGAGGAGGACCAGCCACACUGGAACUGAGACACGGUCCAGACUCCUACGGGAGGCAGCAGUGGGGAAUAUUGCACAAUGGGCGCAAGCCUGAUGCAGCCAUGCCGCGUGUAUGAAGAAGGCCUUCGGGUUGUAAAGUACUUUCAGCGGGGAGGAAGGGGAUGUGGUUAAUAACCUCGCCGAUUGACGUUACCCGCAGAAGAAGCACCGGCUAACUCCGUGCCAGCAGCCGCCGUAAUAC